rnacentral:misc_RNA from 1 species
CUUAAAAAUACAAUCUUUAUUGACAACAUCAUGUGGGGUAACCACAAAAUUUGAUCUUUUUGAUGGGUUUUGCUUAAAAAUACAAUCUUGAUUGACAAUAUCAUGUGGGGCAUGAAAAUUUGGUUUCUUGAAAGGUUUGGAUGAACUGUACCUGAAGAAUGAUAGCCUUGUGGUUCUGGGGUAGAACUGGUGGCUGGGAACUAGAGCCAUGCUCAAAUUAUAUGCAUAUACUCAUAUAUAGAUACACCAAAAUGAACAUGUAUAUAUAUAACAAAAUGGAAGGAAAAGAACUGAAAAACAGAGAAAAUAGAAGUGAAUAUAGCAAAAGAGAGUGAGGGUUUUGG